GACGAACGCUGGCGGCGUGCUUAACACAUGCAAGUCGAACGCUGAAGCUUGGUGCUUGCACUGGGUGGAUGAGUGGCGAACGGGUGAGUAAUACGUGAGUAACCUGCCCUUGACUCUGGGAUAAGCCUGGGAAACUGGGUCUAAUACUGGAUACGACAUGCCACUGCAUGGUGGUGUGUGGAAAGGGUUUUACUGGUUUUGGAUGGGCUCACGGCCUAUCAGCUUGUUGGUGGGGUAAUGGCCUACCAAGGCGACGACGGGUAGCCGGCCUGAGAGGGUGACGGGGCAGCAGGGGAGUGAGACAAGGCCUAGACGGAGAAGGGAGGCAGCAGGGGGGAAUAUGGCAAAAGGGGCGGAAGCAUGAAGAAGCGUCGCAGCGUGAGGGAAGAAGGAGGUAGGGGUGUAAACGAAUAAGAGCAGGGAAGAAGCGAGAGGGAAGGGACGGGAAGAAGAAGAGAAGGCGAACUACGUG
rnacentral:rRNA from 1 species